rnacentral:lncRNA from 1 species
CGGCGGUGCUCGCCGAUUCUGGAGUGCAGCGGCACGGCGAAGCCGAAGAUUCCAGUGGUAGCAGCGGCGUCGGGGCUCGGAGAAUCGACGGAGACAGCAGACUUUCGACGGUGAAGUCCGAGAACGACAACAGCAGCAGGCGGCUUAGCUGCUGCCCGUCGAUCCAGAGAGAGAAAAGGGGGCUGGACGGCGGCUGGAUGCGAAGCUGGUCGACGGAGGGAGAGAUGACGGGCCGAUCAGCUGCUGCUCGGCCAUAGCCGGAGGAGAUUUGAGGGAGCAGAAAGAGAGGCGAAUCUGGUCGGAGAGAGAGUCGCGGCGGCGGUGCUCGCCGGUUGAUCAGUGACGGCGACUCAUGGUGAACGACAGAGGCAGAGCCUUGCUACUUGACGGAAUUAGACGGAAACUAGAGAGGAGUCGUCGAUUGCUCUGUAUCGGAAGACAGCGGCGCUGAAUCGACGAAGCCGGAUUUGGUGGGCUGUGAACGAGAGAGAGAAGAGAGGCGAGGAGGCGUCGGACCUUGGCGCGGCUGUAGACCUCGCCGAAUUUCGGAGCAGCGGCGGCGAGCCCUCAUUGGAGAAGAGAGAGAUGAGAUUGAGAGGGAGAUAUCGGUUGAGAGAGAGAAAGAGAACCGAGAGACUUGGGGGGGAGAAAAGGGGUGUUGGGCUUUUAUUUUGUUAUUUUUGUUGUUGGGC